CCGACCAGCACUCCUCAAAAGUGUUGAACUGUCAAAGUCAUCAAAAACAAAGUCUGAGAAACUGUCACUGCCAAGAGGAACCUAAGGAGCCGUGACAACUAAAUCUCAGCUCACAGCAGAACAAGUGUUGUUAGCUUGAGGAAAAGAAUAAUGCCCUGGUUGUCCACUUACAAGAUUUGGAACAACUCUCUACAAUUAUAAAAAUGGAAGUAUCCAAGUAACAAGAGCAGUAGC
rnacentral:lncRNA from 13 species